rnacentral:rRNA from 1 species
UACGGGGGGGGCAAGCGUUGUUCGGAAUUACUGGGCGUAAAGGGCUCGUAGGCGGCCAACUAAGUCGGAUGUGAAAUCCCCAAGCUUAACUUGGGAACUGCAUCCGAUACUGGAUGGCUUGAAUCCGGGAGAGGGAUGCAGAAUUCCAGGUGUAGCGGUGAAAUGCGUAGAUAUCUGGAGGAAUACCGGUGGCGAAGGCGGCAUCCUGGACCGGCAUUGACGCUGAGGAGCGAAAGCUAGGGGAGCAAACGAG